rfam:Sutterella wadsworthensis CAG:135 genomic scaffold, scf149
GCCGGUGUAGCUCAGCUGGUAGAGCAGCGCAUUCGUAAUGCGAAGGUCGGGAGUUCGAAUCUCUUCUCCGGCA